UGAGAGAAAGCAAAUAUAUUGCGUUUUAUUUCCAAUAAAAAGUAGAGUAAUUUCUCUCUCAA
rnacentral:tRNA from 1 species